UACAGAGGUGGCAAGCGUUGUUCGGAAUUACUGGGCGUAAAGGGCGCGUAGGCGGCCUUCUAAGUCAGACGUGAAAUCCCCCGGCUUAACCUGGGAACUGCGUCUGAUACUGGGAGGCUUGAGUAUGGGAGAGGGAUGUAGAAUUCCAGGUGUAGCGGUGAAAUGCGUAGAUAUCUGGAGGAACACCGGUGGCGAAGGCGGCCUUCUGGACCAUCCUUGACACUAAGACGCGAAAGCGUGGGUAGCAAACAGG
rnacentral:rRNA from 1 species